GACGAACGCUGGCGGCGUGCUUAACACAUGCAAGUCGAACGGAAAGGCCCUGCUUUUGUGGGGUGCUCGAGUGGCGAACGGGUGAGUAACACGUGAGUAACCUGCCCUUGACUUUGGGAUAACUUCAGGAAACUGGGGCUAAUACCGGAUAGGAGCUCCUGCUGCAUGGUGGGGGUUGGAAAGUUUCGGCGGUUGGGGAUGGACUCGCGGCUUAUCAGCUUGUUGGUGGGGUAGUGGCUUACCAAGGCUUUGGCGGGUAGCCGGCCUGAGAGGGUGACCGGCCACAUUGGGACUGAGAUACGGCCCAGACUCCUACGGGGGACAGCAGUGGGGAAUAGUGCACAAUGGGCGGAAGCCUGAUGCAGCAACGCCGCGUGCGGGAUGACGGCCUUCGGGUUAUAAACCGCUUUCGCCUGUGACGAAGCGUGAGUGACGGUAAUGGGUGAAGAAGCACCGGCUAACUACGUG
rnacentral:rRNA from 1 species